GCCCUGGUGCUGGAAUUGGUAGACAGGCAAGUUUCAGGAACUUGUAUCCGCAAGGGUGUGGGAGUUCGAGUCUCCCCCAGGGCACAA
rnacentral:tRNA from 1 species